rnacentral:rRNA from 1 species
AGUGAACGCUGGCGGUAGGCCUAACACAUGCCAGUCGAACGGCAGCACAGUAAGAGCUUGCUCUUACGGGUGGCGAGUGGCGGACGGGUGAGGAAUACAUCGGAAUCUACUUUUUCGUGGGGGAUAACGUAGGGAAACUUACGCUAAUACCGCAUACGACCUACGGGUGAAAGCAGGGGAUCUUCGGACCUUGCGCGAUUGAAUGAGCCGAUGUCGGAUUAGCUAGUUGGCGGGGUAAAGGCCCACCAAGGCGACGAUCCGUAGCUGGUCUGAGAGGAUGAUCAGCCACACUGGAACUGAGACACGGUCCAGACUCCUACGGGAGGCAGCAGUGGGGAAUAUUGGACAAUGGGCGCAAGCCUGAUCCAGCCAUACCGCGUGGGUGAAGAAGGCCUUCGGGUUGUAAAGCCCUUUUGUUAGAAAAGAAAAGCAGCAGGUUAAUACCCCGCUGUUCUGACGGUACCCAAAGAAUAAGCACCGGCUAACUUCGUG